GACGAACGCUGGCGGCGUGCUUAACACAUGCAAGUCGAACGGAAAGGCCCUGCUUUUGUGGGGUGCUCGAGUGGCGAACGGGUGAGUAACACGUGAGUAACCUGCCCUUGACUUUGGGAUAACUUCAGGAAACUGGGGCUAAUACCGGAUAGGAGCUCCUGCUGCAUGGUGGGGGUGGGAAAGUUUCGGCGGUUGGGGUUGGACUCGCGGCUUAUCGGCUUGUUGGUGGGGUAGUGUCUUAGCAAGGCUUGGACGGGUAGCCUGCCUGAGCGGGUGAGCGGCCCCAUUGGGCCUGGGAUACGGCCCAGACUCCUACGGGAGGCAGCAGUGGGGAAUAUUGCACAAUGGGCGGAAGCCUGAUGCAGCAACGCCGCGUGCGGGAUGACGGCCUUCGGGUUGUAUUCCGCUUUCGCCUGUGACGAAGCGUGAGUGACGGUAAUGGGUAAAGAAGCACCGGCUAACUCCGUG
rnacentral:rRNA from 1 species